UCGUGACCCUGACCAAAACAGACCGCGCACGUGUCAUCCAUCCCACCGGUGGCGGCAUCGUCCUUCGCUCGGCCAAGUCCUCGUCCACCUAGCCCCCUCGGAGGCGGUGCACGGGGCAAAAGAACCGACGGCGCUGACGGCGUCAAGGAACACUGUGCCUAAUCCGGGGACGCAGCUCGCCUGCUUGCUGCCCCCCGUUUUGCAAUGCCAUUCGAUC
rnacentral:misc_RNA from 1 species